rnacentral:rRNA from 1 species
GAUGAACGCUGGCGGCGUGCCUAAUACAUGCAAGUCGAGCGAACAGACGAGGAGCUUGCUCCUCUGACGUUAGCGGCGGACGGGUGAGUAACACGUGGAUAACCUACCUAUAAGACUGGGAUAACUUCGGGAAACCGGAUCUAAUACCGGAUAAUAUAUUGAACCGCAUGGUUCAAUAGUGAAAGACGGUUUUGCUGUCACUUAUAGAUGGUUCCGGGCCGCAUUAGCUAGUUGGUAAGGUAACGGCUUACCAAGGCUACGAUGCGUAGCCGACCUGAGAGGGUGAUCGGCCACACUGGAACUGAGACACGGUCCAGACUCCUACGGGAGGCAGCAGUAGGGAAUCUUCGGCAAUGGGCGAAAGCUUGACGGAGCAACGCCGCGUGAGUGAUGAAGGUCUUCGGAUCGUAAAACUCUGUUAUUAGGGAAGAACAAAUGUGUAAGUAACUAUGGACGUCUUGACGGUACCUGAUCAGAAAGCCACGGCUAACUACGUG